rnacentral:tRNA from 1 species
UGGCUGAGCAGUAAAGCGCUUGGCUUCCAAGCCAGAGGUCCCGGGUUCAAAUCCUGG